AAAGAAGAAAGCCUUGGUGCGAGAGAAUGAAUAAAACUUUCUUAUGAAAGACAUUGGAACAGGAGAUAAAAUUUUUAAAGCCUAAAGUUUUCAUAGCAGAUGCUGACCUGUGGCUUUCCUUGCACCUCCAUCACAUUCUCCACAGUGAAAACCUUGCCCAUAACUUGAGGGGUUCCUUCACACACAGCUUUACAAGUCUUGUAUUUAUCACUGCUCUCCCACAGGAGACAAAAGGAUUGUAU
rnacentral:lncRNA from 12 species